GAUGAACGCUGGCGGCGUGCCUAAUACAUGCAAGUCGAGCGAACAGACGAGGAGCUUGCUUCUCUGACGUUAGCGGCGGACGGGUGAGUAACACGUGGAUAACCUACCUAUAAGACUGGGAUAACUUCGGGAAACCGGAGCUAAUACCGGAUAAUAUAUUGAACCGCAUGGUUCAAUAGUGAAAGACGGUUUUGCUGUCACUUAUAGAUGGAUCCGCGCCGCAUUAGCUAGUUGGUAAGGUAACGGCUUACCAAGGCAACGAUGCGUAGCCGACCUGAGAGGGUGAUCGGCCACACUGGAACUGAGACACGGUCCAGACUCCUACGGGAGGCAGCAGUAGGGAAUCUUCCGCAAUGGGCGAAAGCCUGACGGAGCAACGCCGCGUGAGUGGUGAAGGUCUUCGGAUCGUAAAACUCUGUUAUUAGGGAAGAACAAAUGUGUAAGUAACUAUGCACGUCUUGACGGUACCUAAUCAGAAAGCCACGGCUAACUACGUG
rnacentral:rRNA from 1 species